rnacentral:snoRNA from 1 species
UGGAUAAAAUGAUGACAAGUGGUGGCAUAUGAGACUUGGGUGAUGCCGACGCCAGGUCUGGAAGUCUGAGGUCCAA